rnacentral:rRNA from 1 species
CCUACGGGUGGCAGCAGGGAGGAAUAUUGGUCAAUGGACGAGAGUCUGAACCAGCCAAGUAGCGUGAAGGAUGACUGCCCUAUGGGUUGUAAACUUCUUUUAUAUGGGAAUAAAACAGGGUAUGCAUACCCUCUUGUAUGUACCAUCUGAAUAAGGAUCGGCUAACUCCGUGCCAGCAGCCGCGGUAAUACGGAGGAUCCGAGCGUUAUCCGGAUUGAUUGGGGUUAAAGGGAGCGUAGGUGGAUUGUUAAGUCAGUGGUGAAAGUUUGCGGCUCAACCGUAAAAUUGCAGUUGAAACUGGCAGUCCUGAGUACAGUAGAGGUGGGCGGAAUUCGUGGUGUAGCGGUGACAUGCUGAGAUAUCACGAAGAACUCCGAUUGCGAAGGCAGCUCACUGGACUGCAACUGACACUGAUGCUUGAAAGUGUGGGUAUCAAACAGGAUUAGAUACCCUGGUAGUC